CACUCCCCCAUCCGACAUAAACGAUCUUGUAUAAAAGAUCGAAUUAAAUAGAGGACAUUAUUUCACAGUAUUUAUGAUUAUAAUGAUAGAAUGUAUUCUCCUUGUUAUAAGCGCUUAGUGUGAUUUUUUCAUGGCGUAAAUUAAAUUUCAAUGAAUAUCAUUGUUUUUAGUCGUCUACUGCGUGUGUACAUUAUAAUCCAUAUAAUGUUAUACAUAUUGAUAACAUUGAGUACACAAUCACAUGAAAUAAUUAUUUCAAUAAAAAAUUAAAAUUUAGUGACAUACGUAAGAGUAAAAAUCUUCACCGAAAACGUAAAAAAGUAGAAUAAUAUUAUACAACUGUUGAUCGUCUCAGAGCAUACCUUGACAGUAUUAUAACAUACUAUAAAUUUAAUCAUAAAUAUUAAAAUCUAUUAUUCCGUGAAGAUAAUUAAUUUUCAAAUACACAUAAAGGAAGAGGUCGCAUUGCAAAAUGGAAACGCUAUGAAAACAUUUUAUUAUAAGUUUAAUAUUAGUGAAUAAGUUAAUUAGAUAGAAAAUUAUGAUAUUAAGAUUCAUAUUAUCCAUUAAAUACGUUUUAUUAAUUUUCAUUUUCAUACAAAUCAUAUAUUUUUUUUAAAUA